GACGAACGCUGGCGGCGUGCUUAACACAUGCAAGUCGAACGGAAAGGCCCGCAUCAUUUUUGUGGUGGGGGUGCUCGAGUGGCGAACGGGUGAGUAACACGUGGGUGAUCUGCCCUGUACUUCGGGAUAAGCUUGGGAAACUGGGUCUAAUACCGGAUAGGACCAUGGUUUAGUGUCUCAUGGUGGAAAGAUUAUUGUUUUGGUGCAGGAUGAGCUCGCGGCCUAUCAGCUUGUUGGUGGGGUAAUGGCCUACCAAGGCGUCGACGGGUAGCCGGCCUGAGAGGGUGGACGGCCACAUUGGGACUGAGAUACGGCCCAGACUCCUACGGGAGGCAGCAGUGGGGAAUAUUGCACAAUGGGCGCAAGCCUGAUGCAGCGACGCCGCGUGGGGGAUGACGGCCUUCGGGUUGUAAACUCCUUUCGUUAGGGACGAAGCCACAUUUUUUGGGUGUGGUGACGGUACCUUUGUUAAGAAGCACCGGCUAACUACGUGCCAGCAGCCGCGGUAAUACGUAGGGUGCGAGCGUUGUCCGGAAUUACUGGGCGUAAAGAGCUCGUAGGUGGUUUGUUGCGUCGUCUGUGAAAUUCCGGGGCUUAACUUCGGGGUGGCAGGCGAUACGGGCAUAACUAGAGUGCUGUAGGGGAGACUGGAAUUCCUGGUGUAGCGGUGGAAUGCGCAGAUAUCAGGAGGAACACCGAUGGCGAAGGCAGGUCUCUGGGCAGUAACUGACGCUGAGGAGCGAAAGCAUGGGGAGCGAACAGGAUUAGAUACCCUGGUAGUCCAUGCUGUAAACGGUGGGCGUUAGGUGUGGGGACCGGUUUGGUUUCUGUGCCGUAGCUAACGCAUUAAGCGCCCCGCCUGGGGAGUACGGCCGCAAGGCUAAAACUCAAAGGAAUUGACGGGGGCCCGCACAAGCGGCGGAGCAUGUGGAUUAAUUCGAUGCAACGCGAAGAACCUUACCUGGGUUUGACAUGCACCAGACGGUUGUAGAGAUACGUACCUCCCUUUGUGGUUGGUGUGCAGGUGGUGCAUGGUUGUCGUCAGCUCGUGUCGUGAGAUGUUGGGUUAAGUCCCGCAACGAGCGCAACCCUUGUCUUAUGUUGCCAGCACUUUGGGUGGGGACUCAUGAGAGACUGCCGGGGUUAACUCGGAGGAAGGUGGGGAUGACGUCAAAUCAUCAUGCCCUUUAUGCCCAGGGCUUCACACAUGCUACAAUGGUUAGUACAACGCGCUGCGAACCUGUGAGGGUGAGCGAAUCGCUGAAAGCUAAUCUCAGUUCGGAUUGGGGUCUGCAACUCGACCCCAUGAAGUCGGAGUCGCUAGUAAUCGCAGAUCAGCAAUGCUGCGGUGAAUACGUUCCCGGGCCU
rnacentral:rRNA from 1 species